rnacentral:rRNA from 1 species
GAUGAGCAUGCGUCCCAUUAGCUAGUUGGUAAGGUAACGGCUUACCAAGGCAACGAUGGGUAGGGGUCCUGAGAGGGAGAUCCCCCACACUGGUACUGAGACACGGACCAGACUCCUACGGGAGGCAGCAGUGAGGAAUAUUGGUCAAUGGGCGCAAGCCUGAACCAGCCAUGCCGCGUGCAGGAUGACGGUCCUAUGGAUUGUAAACUGCUUUUGUACGGGAAGAAACAGCGAUUCGUGGAUCGCCUUGACGGUACCGUAAGAAUAAGGAUCGGCUAACUCCGUGCCAGCAGCCGCGGUAAUACGGAGGAUCCAAGCGUUAUCCGGAAUCAUUGGGUUUAAAGGGUCCGUAGGCGGUUUGGUAAGUCAGUGGUGAAAGCCCAUCGCUCAACGGUGGAACGGCCAUUGAUACUGCUAGACUUGAAUUAUUAGGAAGUAACUAGAAUAUGUAGUGUAGCGGUGAAAUGCUUAGAGAUUACAUGGAAUACCAAUUGC